CUCUAUCUCUGUCUCUCCAAAAAUAAAUAAAUAAACUUUAAUAAUAAUAUAAUAAGGACUGAAAUACCACAGGCAUGAACCUCAAAAACAUUAUGCUCAGACAAGGAAGGUAGACGUAAAAGACAUCAUCUCCUAUGAUUCAUUUAUGUGUAAUGUUGGACACACGUACACAGGGAAGAAUGCCAGUGGUGGCCCAGAGCUCGGGGAAGGAACAAGGAUUGACUGCCAUGAGCAUGAGAGACAUUUGUGGUGAUUCAUUGACAUGACCAUAACCAUUUUAAGAUUUCAGAUGUUACAGUUCCUAAUGUUUUAUUUUCAGGUAAGGAUAUAAGUUAUACUUGUUGCUAUUUUGUAAAACUGAGAAAUGACAAACACACACACACACACACACACACACAAACCCAAAAAACAAACAAACAAAACCCAACAACCCACAGCUUCGGAGAUUUAGGAGGGAAAGCUUCAGGAAUUCAAACACAGAAUCAAGUUGAGCAGCACCGUCCAACAGAUGUUUAAACAGAUGAAUAAAGUGUGCCUUGUGAAUUCCUAAUGAAUUUCAAAGAGUACUGCCUGAUACUGAGAAAGGCAGCACAUCACCCAAGUGGUGCACAGUGCUGGAGAAUGGUUUCUACAAAAACGUCUGUGGCAGACGGGGCUCACGUGCCUCACGAUGUCUGCUUACAAUUUUACACGCGUGUUUCUAACACCCGCGGUUGAAGAUAACGGCUGUCCUAACGGUGAGAGGAGAGCCUUACCCAGCAAGCACAGGGGGUGUUUUUGUUUCUUUGUCCUGCCACCCCCUCCGGGCCAGCCCGUCCUAUUUCUCCUGUUGCUGUUCUGUCAUUUCACCGAGUGUCUCUCGUAUUUAUCAAAGGGUGUAGAGCUAUCUUGACGAUAGCGUCGCCACCCUUUCUAGGUCUCGGUAAAUGCAAUAACCAUCACCUUUGAAAAUAAAACAUAAAGCUUUUCGGGACAGACAUUGAGGCACGAAGAAGGCGAUAAAUAAAUCUUCCUUACAGCGUGAACCUGCUCCACAAAAUUCUCGAAAGAUGGCCAAGUGCGUGUGGGGACAUUAUCAGAUAAGAGAACCUGACGCCUGGUAGAUCCUUGAUGAAUGUCUUCUGAAGGAGAGAGCUACAAAGAAGGAGAGGACGAACGUGAUUUGGGAAAGGUAGAAGGAAGGGAAGUGUGUUUCUGGAUGGACGCUGUGGUUGGGUGGCCUGGUUAAGCAGAGAAGGAAGGUUAAGAAAUGAGACCCUGUACACAGACGCAAAGGGCAUGAGCCUUGACACUGGAUGGAUCGUGGUUUGAAUCCUGCUCGCCCCAUUCACUAGCUUGGUUGUUUUCGGCACCUUCUUGGAGCCCUGGGAUCCUUCUCCAUUAAAGGGCUUGGUUGUAAUGAUUAAAGGUGGCUCACGGAAGAGCGCCGGGGUGCCUCAGUCGGUUAAGUAUCUGACUUUGGCUCAGGUCAUGACCUCAUGGUUUGAGUUCAAGCCCUGCCCUGGGCUCUCUGUGUUGAUAGUGUGGACCCUGCUUGAGAUUUUCUCUCUCUCUCCCUAUCUGCUCCUCCCCAACUUGUGCUCUGUCUCUCUCCCUCUAAAAAUAAAUAAAUUAAAAAAAUUUUUAAAGGAAAGAAUUGCAUAUGGAAAGACCAAAUACAUCGCCACUAUUUAAUAUGAUAAUCUGAAAAAUAAAACCGCAUGGAAGGGAUAAUGAAGGAUAAAAACCACAGUGUUCCCCUGCCACAGCUUUGGCUUUCAACCAGCAGGAGGGACCAACUCUCUCAUGAUACAAUACCAGUCAACAAACAGUAAUGGGGACCCGUCAAUGCCCUAUAGGUCCCGCCAUGCAGAUAAUGAGAAUAAAGCAUACUAGGACUAUGUGAAGGAGGCCUCAGUUGAUGACGGUUGUGCGGGAUCCAUGCAUAAAACAAUGUUUACAGGGAAUGAUAACAUCUGCCAUAUUAACUAAAAAUAGGAUCUUCAUCCCCAGUGCCUAGCCGUGUAACACAGACCUCUCCCGCAACACCCUGAUGGGAACAAAGAUGCUCAUUGUCUAUGCUGGAAGCUGCAUGCAUCAUCUCUAUCGUCAAAUACUUGAGACUGGUAUUAAAACCUUUGCUACAGAGGUAAGGGAACGGAACAGGAACUCAGCGGGUUUUUCUAGCCACAGCUGGUACCUCACAGAGCGGUCCCCCAAACCCCGAUCCUAACACCAAACCCAGAAUGUUCCCGCUCCCAUGCCCCGCUGCCUUGCAGCUGUUCUUCAAAGAGCAGGCGCACUUCUUUAAACAAGGCCAGCAACCUUUGCAGCUGGUGCCUGGCUGCUGAAAUGCACAACCACGGGAGGCUGGUUUGGGGGCGACUCGACCUCAGGGCGGUGUGCCUUCAACUCCGUGUCACGGGCCGCAGGCAGCCCUUUUAUCUCGGUGCUGUCCCAUCCUGGCCGCUGCCAUCGGUCAGAGUAGCUGCCCGGUCAUCAUAUUCCCAGCAAAGUCAAAAGACGGAGUCACGAUUCAAAGGGGAGCAAACUGCGCCUUUUAAGAAAAUGGCAUUUUCCUGGCAUUGCUGAAGGUAUCAGCUGCCAGUCAGUGGAGACUGGAGAUUGUUCUAGAUAAAAGAACACGGGCCACAAGAUGCAUGCUAAAUGAGUAUAGCAGCCACCUGGGGAUCAAUGUCAGUAACAACUGAAGCACCUGCCCCGACAGAAAGGCAGUUUCCGCCCUGCGGCUCUCCUUUUACGAGACUGACCUACAGCACUUAGGUGAGGAUACAGUACAACUUUGGUUUGCGAGCAUGAUUCGUUCCGGAAACACGCUUGUGAUCCGGAGCACUGGUCUGUCAAAGCGGAUUCCCAAACCACUGGCUCGCUUGGGAUCAUGUGACGUUGGGCAUCACGUACUACUCAUACUGCAUGGCCUCGCUCGUUUAUCAAGUUAGAACGUAUUAGAAACGUUUGCUCGUUUCGCGGCACACUCGCGGAACAAGUUACGCGCGAGCCAAGGUUUUGCUGCGUCUCCAUAGAAUAAAUGUGUCACGUCCUUGAGGAUCAAACAGGCGAUUAGAAGAUUACCUCCUUAUCUCCCUCAAGUCAUUUUUAGGGAUUAUUGGGCGUUCAGGUGUAUUGCAUCCAUGCAUGUGAAGUAGCAGCGGAAACCAUUUGCAGAUUCCAGUUUUCUGAGGUUGGUUUGUUUCUGAGAGCGAGUCCCUUCAGAUGGGGAAAUGCUGCUUAUCGGCGCGCGUCCACUAAGAAGGACGUGCCGAACGAAGGGUCGAGAAACUUGCUGUCUUAAUCUCUUGCUGCCGUGAUGGGGGUAAGACAUGUUAUGCUUUGCAUAACAAAGCAGGUGGUAAGGUGUUUCCUGGCAUGAAUUCUGAUUCCUUCCAAUUUGUGUGUAAAGAAGAACAUUUUAAUCACCAUUUUGAAAAGGUGCCCCCUCUUUCCCUCCCCCCCCCCCCCAGUCAGGUGCCUGGAUAAUUGGACUGUACCUGUGUUUUAAGAAGGCAGGAUUGUAGGUGCCUUAAUUGUCAUGGCUGUGGAGGACGUUGGUUCCAAAUGCACUGUAUGUAGCCCACCUCCUACUUAGCUGCACAAAGGUGGGCAGCUUUGGCUUGAGAAAUCCAUCAGCAUUUUUGGUUUAUGACGGCAUUGUGUCUUGUUGCUGAUUGCUUGUCGUUUUUUACAGCUGACUGGUAUCUAUUCGUAGCUUUUCGUGGCUUUCAGGGUGGUAUUGGCCUUGAUUUGGGUCUCCUGAACCACUGCAGGGCUUGAGUACAGGUGUAGACUCUUGGUUCCUAAAGGCAGAAUGAACAGCAUGUGGAGAGCCCGGGGAGUAACUGAUUAUAAAAAGAAGGCAAAGCAUGGGGAGGUUAUUGGCUUGGCUCUUCCUUGUUUCUUCCCGGCGAGGUAUGUGCAUUUACGUUUUCCUUGGUCUCUCUUGUUCGCCCUCUGCCUUUCUUGGCUCAGAGAGGACAACAGAAUGCAUUGCUGUGCAGGAUACACUGGAAACUGUGUUUACGCUUACUCCCUUUUUCAUGUACCCGCCGUGGCUUACCCCAAGGUAUUGUGCUGGUGGGCAGAAUGGGGGUAAGUUGAACUCGUGGAGCAGGAGGUACGGUGGGGAUUGCAAAGAGGUCAGCGGGUGACCUCAGACAGUGUGCCGAGUAUAAGGGGAGCUGUGUGUUCUUACCUGGGUGCCUGGCUUGCUUUUUCUCCUUAACCCCAGGUAUGUUACUCAAAUUCCAUUUACAGUAAAACCUUGGAUUGCAAGUAACUUGUUCUGUGAGUCUUCUGCAACAUGAGCGAACGUUUGCAAUUUUAACUUUAUAAACGAGCGGUGUCUUACAAUAGGAGUCGUACGUGAUGCCCAAGGUCACGUGAUCCCAGCUGAGCCAGUGGUUCUUGAAAUCCACUUUGAUAGACGAGUGCUUUGGACGACCAGCAUUUUGCCGGAACGAGUUAUGCUCGCGAACCAAGGUUUUAUUGUAUUUUCCUAUGACAUUUUCUCAAAACUUCCUUCUUAGCACCCUGGCUAAUGGUACAAAGAGAACCUUUAAACGCGACAACGGACUCCUGGAAGAAACUUCCACCCACCGAAGCUGCUGUUUGCUCCCAAACCAGCAUCCCUGUGAUGAGAGGAUCUGGCUGCGGGAAGCUCACUCCUGCUCAUUGACCCCACCGCCUUCCCUGGGCGCCGAGGGAAAGCGUGCCACCAGCAUCCAUAGGGCCCAAGCAAGACCUUUGCAGCUGAUUGUAACUUCGCCGGUCACACUGAAGAAUGGCUCCUAGUGAAUGCUUAAAAAGGAACGGCGGAGGGUGGGCAUCUGGGCGGCUCAGUGGCUUAAGCAUCUGACCUUGGCUCAGGUCACGAUCUCUCAGCUCGUGAGUUCGAGCUCCGUGUCGGGCUCUGUGCUGACAGCUCAGAGCCUGGAGCCUGCUUCGGAUUCUCUCUCUGUCUGCCGUUCCCUCACCCAGACUCUCUCUCUCUCUCAAAAAUAAACAUUAAAAAGAAAAUAAAAGAAAGGAACAGGAGCCCUGAGGGCCACUAAUCUCACA